rnacentral:rRNA from 1 species
GUGCCAGCAGCCGCGGUAAUACGUAGGUGGCAAGCGUUGUCCGGAUUUAUUGGGCGUAAAGCGAGCGCAGGCGGUUUUUUAGGUCUGAUGUGAAAGCCUUCGGCUUAACCGGAGAAGUGCAUCGGAAACCGGGAGACUUGAGUGCAGAAGAGGACAGUGGAACUCCAUGUGUAGCGGUGAAAUGCGUAGAUAUAUGGAAGAACACCAGUGGCGAAGGCGGCUGUCUGGUCUGCAACUGACGCUGAGGCUCGAAAGCAUGGGUAGCGAACAGGAUUAGAUACCCUGGUAGUCCAUGCCGUAAACGAUGAGUGCUAAGUGUUGGAGGGUUUCCGCCCUUCAGUGCUGCAGCUAACGCAUUAAGCACUCCGCCUGGGGAGUACGACCGCAAGGUUGAAACUCAAAGGAAUUGACGGGGGCCCGCACAAGCGGUGGAGCAUGUGGUUUAAUUCGAUGCUACGCGAAGAACCUUACCAGGUCUUGACAUCUUCUGCUAACCUAAGAGAUUAGGCGUUCCCUUCGGGGACGGAAUGACAGGUGGUGCAUGGUUGUCGUCAGCUCGUGUCGUGAGAUGUUGGGUUAAGUCCCGCAACGAGCGCAACCCUUAUUGUCAGUUGCCAGCAUUUAGUUGGGCACUCUGGCGAGACUGCCGGUGACAAACCGGAGGAAGGUGGGGAUGACGUCAAAUCAUCAUGCCCCUUAUGACCUGGGCUACACACGUGCUACAAUGGACGGUACAACGAGUCGCGAAACCGCGAGGUCAAGCUAAUCUCUGAAAGCCGUUCUCAGUUCGGAUUGCAGGCUGCAACUCGCCUGCAUGAAGUUGGAAUCGCUAGUAAUCGUGGAUCAGCAUGCCACGGUGAAUACGUUCCCGGGCCUUGUACACACCGCCCGUCACACCAUGAGAGUUUGUAACACCCAAAGCCGGUGAGGUAACCUUCGGGGGCCAGCCGUCUAAGGUGGGACAGAUGAUUAGGGUGAAGUCGUAACAAGGUAGCCGUAGGAGAACCUGCGGCUGGAUCACCUCCUUUCUA